rnacentral:rRNA from 1 species
UACGGAGGGUGCAAGCGUUGUCCGGAAUCACUGGGCGUAAAGGGCGCGUAGGCGGCUCAUGAAGGCUGUGGUGAAAGUCCGGGGCUCAACCUCGGAUCGGCCGUGGCGACUCGUGGGCUGGAGCACUGUAGAGGCGGGUGGAAUUCCGGGUGUAGCGGUGGAAUGCGUAGAGAUCCGGGAGAACACCAGUGGCGAAGGCGGCCCGCUGGGCAGUGGCUGACGCUGAGGCGCGACAGCGUGGGAAGCAAACAGG